rnacentral:rRNA from 1 species
AAUGAACGCUGGCGGCAGGCUUAACACAUGCAAGUCGAGCGCCCCGCCAGUGGGGCGGUAGUCGGGUGGGUGACGCGUGGCAACGUACCCUUAUCUUCGGGCUAGCUCCGGGACACUGGAAUUAAUACCGACUGUGCCUUUUGGGGGAAAGGUUUAUCGGAUAAGGGUCGGCCCGCGUUGGAUUCGCUAGUUGGUGGGGUGAAGGCCUACCAAGGGGACUAUCCAUAGCUGGUCUGAGAGGAUGAUCAGCCACAUUGUGACUGAGACACGGCCCAAACUCUUACGGGAGGCGGCAGUGGGGAAUAUUGGACAAUGGGCGCAAGCCUGAUCCAGCCAUGCCGCGUGAGUGAUGAAGGCGUUAGGGUUGUAAAGCUCUUUCACCGGAGAAGAUAAUGACGGUACCCGAAGAAGAAGCCCCGGCUAACUUCGUG